GGCGGCGUAGCCAAGUAGAAAGGCAGUGGUCUGCAAAACCACCAUUCAGCGGUGCAAAUCCGCUCGCCGCCUCCA
rnacentral:tRNA from 1 species